AUUCGAGUUGAAAUGAAAAAGCAUAACCUACCCUUAUUCGGUUCUUCGUUUCCACCGUUAACGUACUCUCUUUUCUUUAACCCCAAAACACAUUUUAUUCAUUCACCACCAGACGCACCGAUUACGCUCUCUCAAUUCAAUUCAAUUCACUUUCAAACUCUCUUCAGAACUCAUCAAUUUUCAACUCUCUCUCUCAAUUCCCAAACCCAAUCCCUUUUGGCAAUCUCCUCACGAACCCUAAUCAAACGCAAAUUCAUUGCUGACUACCUCGUUAUUCUUCUUUCAGCUCAAGUUCGUGAUUUCUGCUUCUGCACUAAUUUAUACCUUAUACCCCUUUCGCGGUUUCUAAAGGUUUAUUUGCCAUAAACAUGGACGAGGAUCAAGAGAUGGAGAAAUUUGGAAUGGAGAAUGAUUAUGAGGGUGGUCAAUGGAUUGGUGGUGAAUUCUACUACAAGAGUCGUAAGGAAAAGCGCACUCAGACAAAGGAUGAUGUUCUUUACGGGGUUUUUGCAGAUUCUGAUGACGAUGAUGAUUAUUCAAGUAGAAAACGGAGGAAGGACCGUGAUUUUUCAAAGAAGCAAGAUCUAACCAAGCCUGUGAAUUUUGUGUCUACUGGAAUGUUUAUGCCCAAUCAGGAAAUUGAUAAUAAGUCCAAAGAGCAAAAUGAGAAAGAUGGUUAUGUUAGUGAGGAUAGGCCGGGCUUAGGAUCAGGUUUUGGUAUGGGGUCUGGUGGCACUUCUGGGACUGGUCUAGGUUUUAAUUCUGGCAAUACAGCAAAUGGUUCAGAAAGAAAUGAUGAUUCUGAUGAGAACGGUCAUGAUAAUUUCUUGCCCUCAGCAUUCGGGAAGAAGAUUAAGGAGGGGGCGAUGAGAAGGGAAAGGGAAAGGGAGAAGGAGAGGUUGGAGAAGAAGAGGGGGAAGCAUCAGAGUUCAGUUCAAGAUGGGUUUAGUGAUGUGGGGAAGUUUGAGAAGCAUACAAAAGGGAUAGGCAUGAAGUUGUUGGAGAAGAUGGGUUAUAAAGGAGGCGGGCUUGGGAAGAAUGAGCAGGGUAUUGUGGCUCCUAUUGAGGCCAGAUUGAGGGCCAAGAAUUCUGGCAUAGGGUUUAAUGAGUCUAAGGAGACUUUGCCGUUGCCGGUUUUGCAGCAAGAGAAGAAGAAUGUGCUAGAGGUCUCACAACCUGUGGUUAGUAAAACAAAGGAAAGGUUAUGGUCAAAGCAAGCAAGGUUGAAGAAAAAGAAGGAGGAAGAGUAUGUAACAGCUGAGGAGUUGUUGGCAAGCAAGCAAGAACAAGAGUUUGAGGUUGUUCAGAAGGUAUAUGAUAUGAGAGGUCCACAUGCUCGAGUAAUAAAUUUGUCUGAUUUGAAUGCUGAGGAGAAAGCAAAAGAAAAUGAUAUCCCAAUGCCAGAACUUCAGUAUAAUGUAGCGUUAAUAGUUGGGUUGGCUGAGGCUGACAUCCAACAGAUUGACAGAGAUUUGAGGAGAGAGAGGGAAACGGCACUUAGCUUGAAAAAAGAAAAAGAGAAGUUAGAAACUGAGGCAGCGUUCCAGAAGAAGCAGCUGGAUAAUAUGGAGGAAAUAAAGCGUGUGUUAGACCAUGUUGAAGAAGAAAACACUUUGGGAACAUUAACAUUGGAUUCCCUUGCUCAUUGCUUUAGGGAUUUACACAAAAGAUAUGCUGAUGACUACAAGUUGUGUAACUUGUCUUGCAUUGCUUGUUUUUAUGCUCUACCCCUGUUUAUCAGAGUGUUCCAAGGUUGGGAUCCUCUGCGAAAUCCAUCUCAUGGGUUGGAGUUGGUUUCAGAGUGGAAGGCAUUGCUUCGAGAAGAAGAUUCAGUUGAUAUAUGGGAUGUAUCAUCACCUUAUACCCAAUUGGUUUUAGAGGUUGUAUUGCCAGCUAUAAGAAUAUCUGGUAUAAAUACCUGGCAGGCCCGGGAUCCUGAACCAAUGUUAUGGUUUCUGGAAUUGUGGGAAAAGUUACUUCCUCAAUCAGUCCUUGCCACCAUAUUAGACAAUAUAGUUAUGCCUAAACUAUCAAGUGCUGUGGAUACUUGGGAACCACACCGUGAGACCAUUCCUAUCCACACUUGGGUGCAUCCAUGGCUACCGCUGCUGGGUCACAAGUUGGAGGGUAUUUACCAGGUGAUUCGUUUUAAAUUGAGUACUGUUCUUGGUGCCUGGCACCCAAGUGAUGGAUCUGCUUAUGCUAUAUUGUCUCCUUGGAAGUCUGUAUUUGAUUCUGCUAGUUGGGAACAACUUAUGCUUCGUUUUAUUGUACCAAAGUUACAGUCUGUCUUGCAAGAGUUCCAAGUGAACCCGGCAAGUCAGAAUCUUGAUCAAUUUUAUUGGGUAAUGAACUGGGCUUCUGCUAUUCCUAUUCACCUAAUGGUUGAUAUGAUGGAGAAAUUCUUCUUUGCUAAAUGGCUUCAGGUUCUGUAUCAUUGGUUGUGCUCAAAUCCUAAUUUUGAAGAAGUUACAAAAUGGUAUUUAGGAUGGAAGGAACUCAUUCCAAAAGAACUGUUAGCAAAUGAAAGCAUCCGAUACCAACUUAAUCGCGGUCUUGAUAUGAUGAACCAGGCUGUUGAAGGUAUGGAGGUGGUCCAACCUGGUUUAAAGGAGAAUAUAAGCUAUCUUAGGGUACUUGAGCAGAGGCAAUUUGAGGCUCAACAGAAAGCAGCAGCUUUUGCUCAACAGCAAGCAGCGGCUAGCUUGGGUGGUGCAGUCAACACAGAUGGCACUCAUGAAUUGAGCUUGAAAGAAGUCAUCGAGGCUCAUGCUCAGCAACAUGGUUUGCUAUUCAAGCUUAAACCUGGUAGAAUGCACAAUGGUCAUCAAAUAUAUGGGUUUGGUAAUGUCAGCAUAAUAAUAGACUCUCUUAAUCAAAAAGUAUACGCCCAGAACGAAGAAAUGUGGUCUAUAGAAUCUCUUCAGGGCUUGCUAGAGUUGCAUAAUAAAUCCCUUAGUAAAAGGCGUUGAUUUCUGCAUUGACCAAUGUGAAUUAUCUGAAUUAUCAGGUGUUUAAAAACCAUGGUGCGUCUGCUGGUGCAUCAAUGAAUCAUUCUCAUGGUCGGAUGAUGGCCCACUAGUUAUUCCACCUAGUGUUUCUGUGCGUCUUGCAAGUAUGAAAGAUCAUUUUAAUCAGACAGGAGAAUGUUUUAUUUGUUCAAUUCAACAUGAGUAUCUUUUGGUUGAUUCAUCUCCAACUUCUUUUCACCGGUUCCUUUUGCUGCUACAUUUCCUUGAGAUGUGAAUUUUUUCUUACUAUUGUAGUGCUCACUUCCAUGAAUUGGAUGCUGAAAUUGUUUCAUUUCAUUAUUUGUGAAGUUGUGUUACGCCAUGUUCAGCAUGUUUAGUUUGGUUUCAAUAGAAUGCAUCUGAUAGAAGGUGUGAAUAAAGGCUUUAUAUUUGUCGUUUUCUGGGACUUGAUGCUAAUUUCCACUAUGGGGUGAUUGCAUGUGACAAACAUAUAGAACAAGUAGAUUGAGAUGGUGUUAGACUGUCAGUUGCGAUAACAGUAUUUUUGGAAAUGACUUUAUUUUCCUUGGCGCUUGGAAUAAUGAGACAGGACAUGGACUGUGCUUAGAAAUUAUAAUUAGACAUUGGGAGGCCAAGUUCUUUUUGGAAAGUGUCGUUGUAGGUGUCAUAAACAUUAUCGAGUAGCAAAUACUUUUCUUGCAUCUUCAUGAAUGGUAAACUGUGAACUAAAACCUUAUACAGUGAUUUGCCUUGUAUCAUACUUGUUAAUAGUGAAUAAUCACACUUACGGAAAUUGGGAGGCUAAUUUCUAUAGCACAUAGCAUAACACACUCUAACCUCACUUUAUAUUAUGUGUGUGUGUGUGUAACAUUAUAAUUAACAAAAACUCAGCUCCAUCUUGAUCAAAAGUUUUCAAUCAUGAAAUACAUUAAAUUAUUAAAGACUUAAAUCAUAAACUGUCCAUUUAAACUUUGAAAGAGCUAAGCAGUCUAGGCACUGACAUGUAGGGAUCUGAAGUGAGAGGCUGAAGCUGAGAAGCAGAUUGUGAAACACACAGAUACACAUAUCAUCAACGGACUGCUGGCUAAAGUUCCCCGUGUUUCUGACCUGUGAAGGUAAAAGAAAUGUGUUAAGAUUGAUUAUCUGAUCAGAGCUGGUGGGAAACACUGCGUUCUGCAGAAGUCAGCAGUGGUGCUACAGCAUAUGAACUCAGAACUUCACGAGUAACUGCAAGAGGAUUGUGAUAUCCUUGUAGGGGAUGGACUAACACCUCUUUAGAAUGGCGUGUCAGACAUUUUUUGGACAUGAUAUGCCUUUGGCAAGUGUCGGACACUUAUCUACUUGUUUCAAUAAAAAAUAAUAUUUAGUUCGGACACCUCUCCAACAUAUGCCAAGAAAGUAGUUGAACACGGAGGUUUACUGAAACUAAUGCUCAGGAAGAUGUCUUCGCAGUUGAACAAUCCACCAUUCAGCUAUAUGAUUCAUCCCCUUCCACUUCAUGGUAAUGGGUCAGAAUGAGCAUUCACUCGUUGCUUUAUAAUUCUAAUACCUCUACUAACUGGGAUUGCGGAUUUUGAGCUGGGAACGGGUGUUACAUAAAUCACGUGUUUCCCGAGGGCGCAGCAAAGGUUCUAAUGUAAGUGAAAGGGGUAGUUCCAGUGAGGAUAAAGCGUGUGUUGGUAACCUAAUUUCUUUUAUUCACAUGUAUGAGGGUCAAGCAUUUUUGUUACAGUUUUUGUACUCUGAGCCUCCUAGUAAGGGAGUUUUGGUUCUCACAUAGCAUUAAUCUUAGUCCUGAAAUCAUGAGGUAUUGGAAAACUUAAACAAACUAUUCAUGGUGUACUAGAUUCAUAGGGAAGACGAUAAUGCAGAAAGAGUAAAGGUAACUAUUUUUUUACAA